AACGAACGCUGGCGGCAUGCCUAACACAUGCAAGUCGAACGGGAUCCUAGCUUGCUAGGUGAGAGUGGCGGACGGGUGAGUAACACGUGGGAAUCUGCCUUUUGGUUCGGGAUAACCGCGGGAAACUGCGGCUAAUACCGAAUGCCCUCGUGAGAGGAAAGAUUUAUCGCCAGAAGAGGAGCCCGCGUCCGAUUAGGUAGUUGGUGGGGUAAAGGCCUACCAAGCCGACGAUCGGUAGCUGGUCUGAGAGGAUGAUCAGCCACACUGGGACUGAGAUACGGCCCAGACUCCUACGGGAGGCAGCAGUGGGGAAUAUUGGACAAUGGGGGCAACCCUGAUCCAGCGAUGCCGCGUGAGUGAUGAAGGCCUUAGGGUUGUAAAGCUCUUUGCCAGGGAAGAUGAUGACUGUACCUGGAGAAUAAGCCCCGGCUAACUUCGUGCCAGCAGCCGCGGUAA
rnacentral:rRNA from 1 species